rnacentral:rRNA from 1 species
AGUGAACGCUGGCGGCGUGCCUAAUACAUGCAAGUCGAACGGAGUGGCGCACGGGUGAGUAAUGUAUAGAUAAUCUGCCCUACACUAGAGGACAAUAGUUGGAAACGACUGCUAAUACUAUAUAGUGUAGGAUGAGGCUAUAUUGAACCAGCUAGUUGGUGAGGUAAUGGCUCACAAAGGCUAUGACGCAUAACUGGUCUGAGAUGAUGAUCAGUCACCCUUGAACUGAGACACGGUCGAGACUCGUACGGGAGGCAGCAGUAGGGAAUAUUGCUCAAUGGGGGAAACCCUUAAGCAGCAACGCGGCGUGGAGUAGUACACUUUGCGGAGCGUAAACUCCUUGUAUUAGUGAAGCGGUACCUAACGAAUAAGCACCGGCUAACUCCGUGCCAGCAGCCGCGGUAAUAC